rnacentral:rRNA from 1 species
ACGCUGGCGGCGUGCUUAAUACAUGCAAGUCAACUUGACUUUAGAUAGCAAUAUCGAAAAGUAGGGUGGCGCACGGGUGCGUAACGCGUAGGUAAUCUGCCCUGAGGUCUGACAUAACCCGUCGAAAGGCGGGCUAACAUCAGAUGAUAUAUAAUCACGACAUCGUGGAAAUAUCAAAUCUUCGGAGCCUUGGGAUGAGCCUGCGUCUGAUUAGGUAGUUGGCGGAGUAAUAGCCCACCAGGCCUACGAUCAGUAGCUGGUCUGAGAGGAUGAUCAGCCACACUGGAACUGAGACACGGUCCAGACUCCUACGGGAGGCAGCAGUAAGGAAUAUUGCUCAAUGGGGGAAACCCUGAAGCAGCAACGCCGCGUGAAGGAUGAAAUACUUUGUAUGUAAACUUCUGUAAGAUGGGAAAAAUAUUCUCCUCGGGAGAAUUGAUUGUACCAUCAGAGUAAGCCCCGGCUAACUACGUG